AGUGAACGCUGGCGGUAGGCCUAACACAUGCAAGUCGAACGGCAGCACAGUAAGAGCUUGCUCUUACGGGUGGCGAGUGGCGGACGGGUGAGGAAUACAUCGGAAUCUACUUUUUCGUGGGGGAUAACGUAGGGAAACUUACGCUAAUACCGCAUACGACCUACGGGUGAAAGCAGGGGAUCUUCGGACCUUGCGCGAUUGAAUGAGCCGAUGUCGGAUUAGCUAGUUGGCGGGGUAAAGGCCCACCAAGGCGACGAUCCGUAGCUGGUCUGAGAGGAUGAUCAGCCACACUGGAACUGAGACACGGUCCAGACUCCUACGGGAGGCAGCAGAGGGGAAUAUUGGACAACGGGCGCAAGCCUGAUCCAGCCAUACCGCGUGGGUGAAGAAGGCCUUCGGGUUGUAAAGCCCUUUUGUUGGGAAAGAAAAGCAGCAGGUUAAUAUCCCGCUGUUCUGACGGUACCCAAAGAAUAAGCACCGGCUAACUUCGUG
rnacentral:rRNA from 1 species